rnacentral:rRNA from 1 species
AAAGUACUUCGGGUGCGAGUAAACUGGCGAACGGGUGAGUAACGUGUAGGUAAUUUGCCUACGAGUGGGGAAUAGGUCCGGGAAACCGGAAUUAAUACCGCAUAACGUCAUGCUCCGAUGGGAGUGUGAUCAAAGGUGGGGACCUUCGGGCCCAUCGCUUGUAGAUAAGCCUGCAUCUGAUUAGUUAGUUGGUAGGGUAACGGCCUACCAAGACCGCGAUCAGUAGCUGUUCUAAGAGGAAGAUCAGCCACAUUGGGACUGAGAUACGGCCCAGACUCCUACGGGAGGCAGCAGUGAGGAAUUUUGCGCAAUGGGAGAGAUCCUGACGCAGCAACGCCGCGUGACCGAUUGAAGCUUUUAGGAGUGUGAAGGUCUGUCGUGAGGGAAGAAAAAGACCGAGAAUAAUAAGUUCGGUAAUUGACGGUACCUCACAAGCAAGCUCCGGCUAACUUCGUGCCAGCAGCCGCGGUAAUACGAGGGGAGCAAGCGUUGUCCGAAAUAACUGGGCGUAAAGGGUACGUAGGCUUUUUUGUAUGUUUCCGGUGAAAUUCACAGGCUCAACUUGUGACUUGCCGGAAAAACUGCAGAGAUUGAAUCCGGAAGGGGAAAGCGGAAUUCCUGGUGUAGCGGUGAAAUGCGUAGAUAUCAGGAGGAACACCAGUGGCGAAGGCGGCUUUCUGGUCCGGAAUUGACGCUGAGGUACUAAAGCGUGGGUAGCAAACAGGAUUAGAUACCCUGGUAGUCCACGCCCUAAACGAUGGAUACUUGAUGUCGGGAUGUCCGGUCGUCUCGGUGUCGUAGCUAACCGUGUUAAGUAUCCCGCCUUGGGACUACGGGUCGGCAGACUGAAACUCCAAGGGAAUUGACGGGGGCCCGCACCAGCGGUGGAACAAUGUGGUUUAAUUCGAUGCAACGCGAAGAACCUUACCUGGGCGUGACAUAUAUAUGAAGUAUGUAAGAAAUUAUGUAUUCGGUCUGCAUUUGCAGGUAGCAUAUAUACAGGUGAUGCAUGGCUGUCGUCAGCUCGUGUCGUGAGAUGUAGGGUUUAGUCCCUUAACGAGCGCAACCCUUGCUUUUAGUUGCCAUCAGGUAAUGCUGGGGACUCUAGAAGGACUGCCGAGGUUAACUCGGAGGAAGGUGGGGAUGACGUCAAGUCAGUAUGUCCCUUAUGUCCAGGGCUACACACGUGUUACAAUGG